CACGUAGUUGGCCGGCGCUUCUUCUCCUCCUACCGUCACCUUACGGCUUCGUCAGAGUCGAAAGAGGUUUACAACCCGAAGGCCGUCAUCCCUCACGCGGCGUCGCUGCAUCAGGCUUGCGCCCAUUGUGCAAUAUUCCCCA
rnacentral:rRNA from 1 species